rnacentral:sRNA from 1 species
UCAAUUCUGCACUGCCAUUGUGGUUUA